UGAGUAACCUGCCCUUAACUCUGGGAUAAGCCUGGGAAACUGGGUCUAAUACCGGAUAUGACUCCUCAUCGCAUGGUGGGGGGUGGAAAGCUUUAUUGUGGUUUUGGAUGGACUCGCGGCCUAUCAGCUUGUUGGUGAGGUAAUGGCUCACCAAGGCGACGACGGGUAGCCGGCCUGAGAGGGUGACCGGCCACACUAGGACUGAGACACGGCCCAGACCUCCGUACGGGAGGCAG
rnacentral:rRNA from 1 species